rnacentral:rRNA from 1 species
GAUGAACGCUGGCGGCGUGCCUAAUACAUGCAAGUCGAGCGAACAGACGAGGAGCUUGCUCCUCUGACGUUAGCGGCGGACGGGUGAGUAACACGUGGAUAACCUACCUAUAAGACUGGGAUAACUUCGGGAAACCGGAGCUAAUACCGGAUAAUAUAUUGAACCGCAUGGUUCAAUAGUGAAAGACGGUUUUGCUGUCACUUAUAGAUGGAUCCGCGCUGCAUUAGCUAGUUGGUAAGGUAACGGCUUACCAAGGCAACGAUGCAUAGCCGACCUGAGAGGUGAUCCGCCAACACUGAAACGGAAACACGUCCAGGACUCCAACGGGAGGCAGCAGAGGGAAUUCUUCGGCAAGGGGCGAAAGCCGACCGAGGAAACGCGGGUGAGGGAAGAAAGUUCUCCGAUUCGUAAAACUCGGUUAUUGGGAAGAAACAAAGUGGAAGUAAAUAUGCAACACCUGAAGGUAACUAAUCCAAAAGGCCACGCCUAAUUACGG